GGGCGAAUGGUCUAGAGGUAUGAUAUUCGCUUUGCAUAUCUGAGUAGCCUGUUGCUACUUGGAAUCUCAAUGUCUGCGAAGGGUCCGGGGUUCAAUUCCCCGUUCGUCCA